AAGAUAACAUAAUUUAGGAGUCUGUUGAACAUAUUUUAAGACUCUGCACUCGUUAAAAUGAUGAGUUCUACUUUUUUUUUUCCUCAAAAUAAAAUGCUCUAGUAAAUCUUUUGUUAGAAAAAUAAAUAAAUGUUCCUUUCAAAAAACAAAGGUUAAUCUUUCUUUCAAAAAUAUAUGAUGAUGAAUAAUAGUAAAUGACGGGGAUGAUGAUCCAUUAAUUGCGAGGAUAAAUUGUCAACUAAAUGAACGGAAUAUUCUCCGCGAAGCAUGUGAAAGAAAAAAUAUAUAAAUAAAUAAACUACGUGGAAGAAAACAUACGACGUGUCGAUUUCCCAGUAGAUAAGGAGUGCGAAAUUAGUGUAUAAUGGCUGGUAGGUGACCGGUCUCCUACCAAAUAAACCGCCAAAGAAUCGUGAUACGAGUUAUUCAAUUCUUUAUAACUCCAAGUUACCGGGGUACGACACAUUGGGGAAAUUUUCGGAUGCAUCACGAUAUUUCCAAGAGAUCGCCUUACAUGAUCCCUUGCAUGGCCGGUCCGAGAAUCUUCUUGUAAGAAGUUUCAGCUGAAUUUUUGUUUUUUUUUUUACAAGUGCUGUUUUUAGCCAAAUUCUCUUUUUAUUAUUUAUCAUUGUAGGAAAUAUCCAUUAUUCCCUAAAAAGUGUCACAUAUUAUAAGUAAUUUUAUGUAUGAACUAUGCUCAUAUUAUGUCAUCUUCAAAAUAUACAAAUUCAAAAAAAGAGUAUCAACUAGUACGUUUUGUCGAUGUUAUCCAACUAUCUAAGUCGAAAUUAAUGAUUUUUGUGCAAAUUUAUUAAUAUCAAUUCUCAAGCCAAAAAAUAUUGAUCGUAAAAUACUUUUCUAAAAAGAAAUUGGCAUAGAG
rnacentral:lncRNA from 1 species